rnacentral:rRNA from 1 species
UCCAUGAAGCUGGAUUCGCUAGUAAUCGCGCAUCAGCCACGGCGCGGUGAAUACGUUCCCGGGCCUUGUACACACCGCCCGUCAAGCCAUGGGAGCCGGGGGUGCCUGAAGGCCGUGACCGCGAGGAGCGGCCUAGGGUAAAACUGGUGACUGGGGCUAAGUCGUAACAAGGUAAC